GGGCAUGAAGGAUGAGCUGAAGGAUUUGAACAUCAAAUUGGCUUUGGCUUCAGUCAGCAGGGACGGGAGCUUCAUGAGAGUGGAUACGAUGCUCGCUUGCCCUCCUGAGUGCUCAGUUUCACUCGGGGAAGAGCUCGGAAUUCCGUCUGUGGAUCAGAUGAUGCCUGAGGAGGAACAGAAAGAAGAAGAAGACGCAG